CACCAUUUAAGAGCUGUGUGAUGUGAGGGCUGGGGCUUUCCUUAUUGCCUGCUAAGGACUAAAUUGUCUCUGGAGCUUCUGUUUGUUUGUGGCAGUUUCAUCACUUGUCAGGGUGAUACAGGAAGAUGAAGUGCCUGGCUGGGCAGGAAAUUUAGUAUUCCAGGUGAAUGACACACAGACAUUAGAGGCCAGGAUCUGAGGCACCACUAGAGAGAAGAGGGAUAAGUGUCUUUGUGACGACCAAAAUGAAUUGUUUUCUUCAAAAAAAGCCAAAGGUGGAAGAUGAAGACAGGUAAGAAGACAGCUAGUACUCAGGAACUCUGAGAAUAG
rnacentral:lncRNA from 12 species